GCCACUCCUGGGUGGUUUCCCGCAUGGGCAAGGGGCCCAGAAGUUCCCCCAAUGGCCUGUGGGCUUCUGUAUCUCCCCAGUAAAAUGAGUACAUUGAAAGAGAUGAUGUCUAAUCCCACUUCUAGCUCUAAAAUGCUAAAAGAGUGAUUUCUGAUUCCAACUUCAUAUUGCUAUAACGAUGCCAGAACUGUAGAUCAUCUUAGCUGUGAGAAAUGUGCUUAGGUUUUGAUGUAUGCUCCAGCGCAGUGGCUGAUCCGGUAUGGACAGGAUAACAGUGAGUCCCUCCGAUGUAUUUAGUAAGUACCGAGUCUUCACACUAUACUAGGACCAGAGAGCACAUGUGAGCGACCGUGCACAGUCCCCAACCGACCUGAACACUGACAGAUAUGAGGAAAAGCAUCCAGAAGAGUGGAUCUUGCAUUUUUUGCCUGAGUUUGUAAACAAAGCCGCCGCUGUGCCGCUGUCGCUCUCCAACACCAGCGCCGCCUCUAGCUCGCCGAGCUCCAGCCAAAGAAGGGGUAAGUGAGGAGGUCUCUUUGCCAUGGCUCCUACAAAGCAGACAGCCCACAAAUCCAUCCGGUGGUAAAGCACCCGGCUACAAAAGCCGCUCACAAGAGUGCGCCCUCUACUGGAGGGGUGAAGAAACCUCAUCGUUACAGGCCCGGUACGGUGGCACUCCGUGAAAUUAGACGUUAUCAGAAGUCCACUGAACUUCUGAUACGCAAACUUCCUUUCCAGCGUCUGGUGGAAGAAAUUGCUCAGGAUUUUAAAACAGAUCUGCACUUCCAGAGCGCAGCUAUUGGUGCUUUCUUUGCAGGAGGCAAGUGAGGCCUACUUGGUUGGCCUUUUCGAAGACACCAACCUGUGUGCUAUUCAUGCCAAACGUGUAACAAUAAUGCCAAAAGACAUCCAGCCAGCACGCCGCAUACAUGGAGAACGUGCUUAAGAAUCCACUAUGAUGGGAAACAUUUCAUUCUCAAAAAAAAAAUUUUUUUUCUCUU